UACGUAGGGGGCGAGCGUUGUCCGAAGUUACUGGGCGUAAAGCGCACGUAGGCGGAUCUUUAAGUCAGGGGUGAAAUCCUGGAGCUCAACUCCAGAACUGCCUUUGAUACUGAGGACCUUGAGUUCGGGAGAGGUGAGUGGAACUGCGAGUGUAGAGGUGAAAUUCGUAGAUAUUCGCAAGAACACCAGUGGCGAAGGCGGCUCACUGGCCCGAUACUGACGCUGAGGUGCGAAAGCCAGGGGAGCAAACGGG
rnacentral:rRNA from 1 species